rnacentral:rRNA from 1 species
AUGCAACGCGAAGAACCUUACCUGGUCUUGACAUCCACAGAACUUUCCAGAGAUGGAUUGGUGCCUUCGGGAACUGUGAGACAGGUGCUGCAUGGCUGUCGUCAGCUCGUGUUGUGAAAUGUUGGGUUAAGUCCCGCAACGAGCGCAACCCGUGUUGCUAGUUACAAGUGUCUAGCGAGACUGCCGGUAACAAGCCGGAGGAAGGUGCGGAUGAUGUCAAGUCAGCAUGGCCUAUAUGUCCAGGGCUACACACACGCUACAAUGGCUGGUACAAAGAGAAGCGAAAGGGAGACCUGAAGCGAAUCUCAUCAAAGCCAGUCAUAGUUCGGAUUGCAGGCUGCAACUCGCCUGCAUGAAGUCGGAGUUGCUAGUAACCGCAGGUCAGCAAUACUGCGGUGAAUACGUUCCCGGGCCUUGUACACAC